rnacentral:rRNA from 1 species
UGGGGAAUUUUGGACAAUGGGCGAAAGCCUGAUCCAGCAAUGCCGCGUGUGUGAAGAAGGCCUUCGGGUUGUAAAGCACUUUUGUCCGGAAAGAAAUCCUUGGCUCUAAUACAGUCGGGGGAUGACGGUACCGGAAGAAUAAGCACCGGCUAACUACGUGCCAGCAGCCGCGGUAAUACGUAGGGUGCAAGCGUUAAUCGGAAUUACUGGGCGUAAAGCGUGCGCAGGCGGUUUGCUAAGACCGAUGUGAAAUCCCCGGGCUCAACCUGGGAACUGCAUUGGUGACUGGCAGGCUAGAGUAUGGCAGAGGGGGGUAGAAUUCCACGUGUAGCAGUGAAAUGCGUAGAGAUGUGGAGGAAUACCGAUGGCGAAGGCAGCCCCCUGGGCCAAUACUGACGCUCAUGCACGAAAGCGUGGGGAGCAAACAGGAUUAGAUACCCUGGUAGUCCACGCCCUAAACGAUGUCAACUAGUUGUUGGGGAUUCAUUCCUUAGUAACGUAGCUAACGCGUGAAGUUGACCGCCUGGGGAGUACGGUCGCAAGAUUAAAACUUAAAGAAAUUGACGGGGUCAUAGCUGUUUCCU